rnacentral:rRNA from 1 species
UCCGUAGGUGAACCUGCGGAAGGAUCAUUAUUGAAUACGUUUGGUUCUGAUGCUGGCUCUUCACUGAGCAUGUGCUCGAUCCAUAACUAUUUAUCUUCUCUUGUGCACCUUUUGUAGUCUUUCAAAGAAGUGAUAACUCCUCGCAGCAAUGCGGUUUGGGGGACUUGGGCGUGAGCCCCUUCCCCUGCUUUUGCUUUUUCUGAAGGGCUAUGUUUUCAUAUACACUAUAAAGUUACAGAAUGUCUUUUAAAGAUUGUGCUAGUCGCAGUCAUUAAACCUAUACAACUUUCAGCAACGCAUCUCUUGGCUCCCCCAUCGAUGAAGAACGCAGCGAAAUGCGAUAAGUAAUGUGAAUUGCAGAAUUCAGUGAAUCAUCGAAUCUUUGAACGCACCUUGCGCCCUUUGGUAUUCCGAAGGGCAUGCCUGUUUGAGUGUCAUUAAAUUCUCAACCCAAAAAGCUUUUACUAGCUCUUUUGUGGCUUGGAUGUGGGGGUUUUUGCUGGCUUCCUUCAGUGGAUGGUCUGCUCCCCUUAAAUACAUUAGUGGGAUCUCUUGUGGACCGUCACUUGGUGUGAUAAUUAUCUAUGCCAGUUGACUUUGAAGCAAAACUUAUGGGAACCCGCUCAUAACCGUCUUCGGACAACUUAUUGACAUUUUGACCUCAAAUCAGGUAGGACUACCCGCUGAACUUAAGCAUAUC